UAUUUUCAUUCUCUUUUCAUGCUAUACCCCUAUUACUAUGAUAGGUAUAACAACUAUAAAGUUGAAUUAUUACACAAAAAAUGCUACAUUCUUCUAAUUAAUUUAGAUUCGUUUGAUACUUUGCAGCCUAUAUAGGCGUUUAUAUUUAUAUUAACAUUAUCUUUAUUACUGCUGUCGUUUGCAGUUUUAAUAAUUAAUUUUCAAACUAAUCUGUCAUUAUACAAUCUGAUGAUGUAGUGAAUGACUUCCUAUUUUGUGCAGUAUAGUAUUGACAGAAAUCUCUUGGGAUGAAUUAUAUCCAUCUCUUCUGAGACUACCUCAUCAUCAAUCUUCCCAUUUUUUCUAUCAUCAUUUUAAUCAGUACCUGCUUGCCUCCGGCUCCUCUUCCUCUAUAGGCUUGCAUCCAGGCUCUGUGCAUUGCACGGCGUUCCUACCCGCAUGCUUAAGAGGAUCAUUUCCUCUUUUUCCCAUCCCUCCUUCCAUCUAUCUGGGAUUCUCCAUCUGGGACUUUGAGCCAAUCACGGCCAAUCAUUCAGGUUUUUUUAGUCCACUUUUACAGACUACUGCCCCCCAUUGGUUCCUGACGAAGCCCC